AUUGAACGCUGGCGGCAUGCCUUACACAUGCAAGUCGAACGGCAGCACGGGUGCUUGCCCCUGGUGGCGAGUGGCGAACGGGUGAGUAAUACAUCGGAACAUGUCCUGUAGUGGGGGAUAGCCCGGCGAAAGCCGGAUUAAUACCGCAUACGAUCUACGGAUGAAAGCGGGGGACCUUCGGGCCUCGCGCUAUAGGGUUGGCCGAUGGCUGAUUAGCUAGUUGGUGGGGUAAAGGCCUACCAAGGCGACGAUCAGUAGCUGGUCUGAGAGGACGACCAGCCACACUGGGACUGAGACACGGCCCAGACUCCUACGGGAGGCAGCAGUGGGGAAUUUUGGACAAUGGGCGAAAGCCUGAUCCAGCAAUGCCGCGUGUGUGAAGAAGGCCUUCGGGUUGUAAAGCACUUUUGUCCGGAAAGAAAUCCUUGGCCCUAAUACGGUCGGGGGGAUGACGGUACCGGAAGAAUAAGCACCGGCUAACUACGU
rnacentral:rRNA from 1 species